UUUGGCGUUAGCUUUACGGGCGAUAAUGCCAUUCCCUACAGCAUGUAACAGGUGAGUUUUACCCAAACCGGUGCCGCCAUA
rnacentral:antisense_RNA from 1 species